CCUACGGGAGGCAGCAGCAAGGAAUCUUCCGCAAUGGGGGCAACCCUGACGGAGCAACGCCGCGUGGGGGAUGACGCCCUUCGGGGUGUAAACCCCUUUUCUGCGGGAAGAAGGUGGGGCAACCCACUUGACGGUACCGGAGGAAGAAGGACCGGCUAACUACGUGCCAGCAGCCGCGGUAAUACGUAGGGGCCGAGCGUUGUCCGGAGUUACUGGGCGUAAAGCGCGCGCAGGCGGCGGUGCUGGCCCGGCGUGAAAGCCCCCGGCUCAACCGGGGAGGGUCGUCGGGGACCGCACCGCUUGAGGGCGGUAGGGGCUGGUGGAAUGCCUGGUGUAGUGGUGAAAUGCGUAGAGAUCAGGCGGAACACCCGUGGCGAAGGCGGCCAGCUGGCCGUCCCUGACGCUGAGGCGCGAAGGCGUGGGGAGCGAACGGGAUUAGAUACCCCGGUAGUCCACGCAGUAAACGAUGCCGACUAGGCGUGGGGGGAGUUGACCCCCUCCGUGCCGGAGCCAACGCGGGAAGUCGGCCGCCUGGGGAGUACGGCCGCAAGGCUAACACUCCAAGGAAUUGAUGGCGGUCCGCACAAGCGGCGGAGCGUGCGGCUUACUUCUAUGCGACACGUAU
rnacentral:rRNA from 1 species